AACAAUCACCUCAUCGUAGCAAAUUCUCAAUUCACAACACUUGAAUAGUACAAUAGUAAGAAGAGAAAAAAAACAAAAAAAAGAUGAAGGGAGGGAGCUUUCAAAUUUUUGUCAUCCUUUUGGUUAUUCUUUUCCUUUUGAAAGGUAUAAUUUCGUAGUACUUAAAUACAUAUUACAUAUAUUUAGAUACAAAAUAUAAUUAUUGUUAUUAAUGUUUUUAGCGUAUCACUUGCUUCCCUUUAUUUAUGAAUGAUUUUAUAAAAUUUCAUAAAACAAAAGUACCAGAUAGAGUCAAAUGAUUAUUUAUAUAGAACCAAAUUUUAUCAUUUCAAAUCGUCCUAAAUCGAGUAUUUAUUCGACUCAUAUAAAAAUAUUAAUAUUAUGUUACAUAUUAAUUUUCGCAUACACAACUAUUCAUAUACAAAAUAUAAUUAUCAUUAUUAGUUGAUUUAGAAAUAUACUAAUUACUUAAUUAAGUUAUCGCUUUAUAGAAAAAUGUUUUUCAUAUAUUAUACUUUAUGAAAAAUAAGAUAUAUUUAAAUUUACUGAAUAAAAAUUGAUGGUUGCAGGAAAUGAAGUGUCUGCACAACCUGGACGCGUUUGUACAAUUCCAUACGGUCUUCCUAAUUGCAAUGAUGCGUUAUGCAAAGCUAAUUGCGUGAAGCUGCAUGGCAAUGCUGCCAAUGGAAUUUGUCUAAAUAGCCAACAAACUUGUGAAUGUUUCUUUCCUUGUGGAACGAAACCAAAUCAAAAUACUAAGUUUUAGAGGGGCUAAUAUCCAAAUAAAAAGUUUUGAGAGGUUUUCGAAAUUUUUGAAAAGCCAUAAUUCUCAAAACUCUUUCUAAUUUUGCCCCUGCCUACUUCUUUUCUAAUGUGAUAGAGAGAAAGUUAUCAAAAUUCAAUAAUAAUAUUAAAAUGAUUUUUAAAAUGUUGAAUC
rnacentral:lncRNA from 1 species